GACUAAGCGUAAAGACCUCUUGAACUGACUGUAAACAUCCUCCCCUCCGCUGAAGUUCAGAGAGGGAUCAAAGCGGGAAAUGUUGUAGUUGAGUAUAGUGUUUUUAUAGGUUUCAGUU